rfam:Ciona savignyi cont_48618, whole genome shotgun sequence.
UACCUGGUUGAUCCUGCCAGUAGUCAUAUGCUUGUCUCAAAGAUUAAGCCAUGCAAGUCUAAGUACGAGCUCUCGUACAGUGAAACUGCGAAUGGCUCAUUAAAUCAGUUAUGGUUCAUUUGAUCGUACAGUUUACUUGGAUAACUGUGGUAAUUCUAGAGCUAAUACAUGCGAGAAGCGCCGACCUCGCGGGAGGCGUGCAUUUAUCAGACCAAAAACCGGCCGCGUCUUCGGGCGCGUUCGCCUUGGUGACUCUGGAUAACUUUG